GUUUAUGUAAUUUUGCACUGCCAUUAAUGGUUUAAUAUUUUAUUUCACUCACAGAUUCACGGCUAUUGAGCAGUGCUUUACCGACACAAUUCAUCGACCUCCUGCAUCCAGCCCUUCAUCGACCUUCUGCAUCCAGCUCUUCAUUGACCUUCAGCAUUGUUCCUGUGUCCAGCAUCUUCAAGACAGGCUAAUUUUCUUAUUACAUUUAUUAUUAGGGAUUAGAGGGAAGUAUUAGAUUGGGUUUAGAUUAGAUAUAUAUAAUUUAUUUUAGCUUGUUGGGCUAGUGUAGGGUUGUAGUUAUAAAGACAGAAUAUUUUUUUUCAAAGCAUUUGUAAUUUCAUAUUAUUGAAAUUAACAUACUUUGUGAGUUUCUCUGUUUAGGCAUCCUUCACAGGUUCUGGAUUUUCACGGCCGGCUUGUGACGACCAAGGCAGGCCAACGUGUGACGAGCAAGACCUAGGCAGGCCAACGUGUGACGAGGAAGACCAGCGUCCGGUAAAAUAUUUUU